UACAGAGGGUGCGAGCGUUAAUCGGAAUUACUGGGCGUAAAGCGCACGUAGGUGGCUUGACAAGUCGGUUGUGAAAGCCCCGGGCUCAACCUGGGAACUGCAUCCGAGACUGUCUUGCUAGAGUAUGGGAGAGGGAAGUGGAAUUUCCGGUGUAGCGGUGAAAUGCGUAGAUAUCGGAAGGAACAUCAGUGGCGAAGGCGACUUCCUGGACCAAUACUGACACUCAAGUGCGAAAGCGUGGGGAGCAAACAGG
rnacentral:rRNA from 1 species